ACAGCAGUAGCCACGGUAAAACGAGGGGGGCAAGCGUUGUUCGGAAUUAUUGGGCGUAAAGCGUGCGCAGGCGGUUUUGUAAGACAGAGGUGAAAUCCCCGGGCUCAACCUGGGAACUGCCUUUGUGACUGCAAGGCUAGAGUACGGCAGAGGGGGAUGGAAUUCCGCGUGUAGCAGUGAAAUGCGUAGAUAUGCGGAGGAACACCGAUGGCGAAGGCAAUCCCCUGGGCCUGUACUGACGCUCAUGCACGAAAGCGUGGGGAGCAAACAGGAUUAGAUACCCCAGUAGUCCCUGUCUCUUAUAC
rnacentral:rRNA from 1 species